GUAGCCUAAUGAAGCGAAUGCCUCGAUGAAAUAAAAAAAAAUAUGAAUGUGUAAUUACACAACGCUACAUUCAUAUGAUAUUUCCAGAUCGCUAUUUCAAGAUUAUGCUUUUAAUUGUAUGGUAAGCGAUCCGAUGGCCACUGAUUUUGUGCUACCAGAACCAGUAGCAUAGGGCAGGCCUACUUGUGCUAAAAUCAAGUUGUUUUGCUAACGAACUAAAAUGCAUACCCUGGUAUUUAUGGUUACAGAUCAACGCUGAGACCAAGGUUUGCUCUGAGCACUUUGAGAAGCAGUGUUUUGUAAAGACCGCCCGUGGUAUCACAGAGCUUAUAAAGGAUGCUGUGGUAACUUUGUUCGCCUGGACUUCAGAGAGGCCAAAGAGGAGAAUCAUCAUUCGCAGACCGAGUACGGAUUCCAUGGAGGUGGAUGAAAACCAGCCUGAUGUGAGAAGGGAUGCCUUGAGGUGGAGCUUUCCCAUGACCAAGAGAUGAACGCUAAACUCAAUAGUUUUUUUUUUCUCCUCCUUCCUGCCUGCACUGUAGAAAAAAGUCAGUCAGUAAACAAAACAAAUGAUUGGAUUUCACAGAUUUGUUUAUUACAAUUUCAGAGAGAAGUGUAUGCAUAAUAAAAUACAUUAUUAUAUAAUAAUAUAACAUUUAGUAUAAUAAGAUGAUCUAUGAUGCACACUUAAAGCAUGAGAGAUUUGUAGAAAUAAACAUCAAUUCAAUGUAUGUUUCCUAUUUCACUUGUGACAGAAUUUUUCAUAAUUUCAGAAUAAUGGGCCUUGGACGUUUGUUAACAUUGCACUCACUGCCCACAUCUGGUUAACAGAGCCUACUAGUGUCAUGGGUAUGACGCCAUCAUAUAUGUGGAACUCUUUUAUUCUCCUUAUCGCACGUUCAACACGAAUACGAAGUCUUGCGCUUGUUUGUGUUUCUGUGACUUCAUCUGCAUUGAAAGUGCCACUUGGGCCUAAAAAGGGUGGAGUCACAAGGGAGACAUUUCAUCUUGAUAGCAUUUCCUUAAUCAGAAACCCUUUGUCUGCCAUGACUAAAUCGCCUUCUUCAAGCAUUGCCAGGAUGCCGGACAAUUCUGUAAUCUCCUUGUCGGAUAUGGAGCCUGUGUACAGGUCACUAACGAAUGACACCUCACCAGACGGGGCAAUACCAAUCAGGCCUUUUGAAAGUUGGGUUGCCCUUGUAAUGGGAAUAGAUUUCGGAGUUAAGUACCUUCGAACUAGGCAUUUGCACAUAUAUUUCUGUACAGUCUAGAAUGACUCUGGUGUCUGGGUAAGUGUUUUGAAAACAAG